ensembl:lncRNA
CUCUUAGAAAACGUGAACUCAAUCAGGCCUUUUUUCUGCUAAUCUGGCACCACUGUACCUGUUGAAAAAUGAAUAGCUAUUUGCAGAGCAAUGUUAAAAGAAAAGGUAACUGAAGAUGAAAGUUAAAGCAAAUUGCCCAACAUCUCCCACUGGGUCAAAAAGAGGCCCUGAACUGAGAUUGAAGCCCAGUCCGCCUGACUGCAGAGCCCAGCUGCACCCCAAACUCCGUCCGAAUGCUGGAAUUACCCCCCCGCCUUCACCAGGGCCACCUGCCUGCAGACACUGCCUGCAAACUGCUCAAAAGAUGCCCAGGAGAAGAGAGAGGAGCAAAAGACGUCCCUAAUUUCCAUACCCGGCAAUCCGCUAUACAAACUCUCUAGUAACUCUUAAAUGCUAUUGGAAGCAAUUAAAUAAAAAUCCUGGGAUAAUGACUUGUUUUUAACAUUAGAGCCUAAA